rnacentral:lncRNA from 1 species
CGUGCCCAAGGAGAACAGCACGCUGAACUGUGCCAGCUUCACAGCGGGCAUCGUGGAGGCUGUGCUCACGCACAGCGGCUUCCCCGCCAAAGUUACAGCGCACUGGCACAAGGGGACCACACUCAUGAUCAAGUUUGAAGAGGCUGUUAUUGCCCGAGAUCGGGCCCUGGAGGGACGCUGACCCCACGGGACAUAAAGGGCUGCAGACGCCUAAAGAAGACCGCUGUGGAGACUCGGUUCUUUCCUCCCACUAUGUAGACUCAGGAGACUCGGUGAUUCAACUCAGGCUGGCUCUCUUCUUUACUUGGGUCUCACUGAAUUGUCCAGGCGGGCCGGAAGCCACAGCAUCCGAGCGUGCUCGGAUUAUAAGUGAGCGCCAGCAUACCUCGCCGGGGUCACGUGCUUCUGAGCCUUACUCUCAGCCCUACCUAGCAUGUCAUUCUAAGGAUAUAGGAAAAGAGAUAACCAAGAUAUAGUUAAGUGUGAAUUCCGUGUCAGUUGUGCAUCAUUCUUAAAGAGAGCUUUGGGCACC